CAGUAGCCACGGGAAUACGAAGGGUGCAAGCGUUACUCGGAAUUACUGGGCGUAAAGCGUGCGUAGGCGGUGGUUUAAGUCCGUUGUGAAAGCCCUGGGCUCAGCCUGGGAAUUGCAGUGGAUACUGGAUCACUAGAGUGUGGUAGAGGAUAGUGGAAUUUCCGGUGUAGCAGUGAAAUGCGUAGAGAUCGGAAGGAACAUCUGUGGCGAAGGCGACUAUCUGGGCCAACACUGACACUGAGACACGAAAGCGUGGGGAGCAAACAGGAUUAGAUACCCGUGUAGUCCCUGUCUCUUAUAU
rnacentral:rRNA from 1 species